rnacentral:rRNA from 1 species
UACAGAGGAGCCAAGCGUUGUCCGGAUUGACUGGGCGUAAAGCGCACGCAGGCGGAUGCGCGCGUGGGGUGUGAAAUCUGGCCGCUUAACGGCCAGGCGCCAUCCCAUACGGCGCGUCUGGAGCUAUGCAGAGGUCGGUGGAAUUGCCGGUGUAGUGGUGAAAUGCGUAGAGAUCGGCAGGAACACCCAGGGGGAAACCAGCCGACUGGGCAUAUGCUGACGCCGAGGUGCGAGAGCGUGGGGAGCGAACCGG